GGAGUGUCAGGGGCGGGGUUCCCGUGUUGCGCUAUGGAAAAUCGUUAGGGAGAUACACUGUGAUAAACGUGCGCUCCCAGAUUGAUAACACCAACAAUAAGGCUGAAACAGGAACAUGGUGGAGUGACCAUUAACCGAGGACCCGGUGUGAGUGGCGCCGGCCGGGAAAUGGAUGAGGCUCCUUCGGCACGGGAGAGAAACAGGCUUGGGAUAAACACGAUCUGGCUUUUUCAUCUUGCACCACUAUAAACCCCACUUGGACCAGGAGCAGGACUGGAUGCCUGAGGCAGACCCAGGAGAGGAAACAGUAUCCUAUUGUGCAUUACAAAGAAGUCUACAGGGAGCUCCGGAGAUCUAUUUUUCCCCAGUAUGAUUCAUAGACAGUUUUUGUUGUUGUUCAUUUCUAGUGCCAGUCUGUUGACGUGUCCGUUCUUACACUGAGAUCUUGGUCAUCUGAUGCACUUCUAAUGCAAGAGAUUGACCUGCUGUGUCAUUCUUAGGGGAGCUGACCGUGACUCGGUGGUUCUUCUCAUUGGUCUCUUCCUGAAUCUCCCCGAGUUUCUGGUUCGUUUUCUGUCUCUCUGUUUUAAAGGAUAACAGUAUCAGCUCUAAUAUGGGCCUUUGGAAAUAUCUCAAACGUAUCAAUUUAUAGACUAAAAAUAUGCUCUGUUUGUAGCACAUAAUAGUUUUUGUAGUCAGUAAAAUGUAGUAGUUUGUGCAAAUAAAUCCCUUCUCAGUGUGUGUGAUAAAACAGUUGGGUAUUCGGUCUCCCAUUAAAUAACCAAAAAUUGAGAUGAUGUUCAUCAAACAUUCUUUUAUGGAAAUUGAACACCACGCCUAAGCUUGGUAGUGUUUCAACACAGUACUGUAACUGCAGAGGUUUACAUAGGCAAGAAAAGGUUUAUAGUGUGUGCCUCAGAAAUGUAGUUCUCCCUAUCAAAUAGCCAUGAGAAGGGCAGAUCUGUAACUGAAAGAGGAAUUUGUUUUCCUUCUUAAUCGCAGCUAAAACAAAAGCAAAUAGGGUAUUUAACUAACUGCCUGCGUGGCAUUGUUUUCUGUCUUUGUCCAUUCUUCCCGGGUAAUAUUAAUACCACACCUUGUCUCAUGUCCAUGUUUCUUUAUAUUCAUUGAAAUGUGCUUUGUCUAGAUGAUGGAUCUGUAAGGACAGUAUCCACUAAAAUAUGUGCUAUAAUAAUAUAAAAGCAAAGCAAUGAGUCUGUUAAGCUGUCUGGCAAGAAACUUUGUCUAAUGGAAAACUAAUAUUUCAUUGUAUUCCUUCACACAAAUCCAAUGUACUGAAAGAGUGAGCCAAUUUUAUGGAUAGCCUUAGAAUAAUUUAGUUGGUAAAAUACAUGCAAGAGAGUCAGAUGUCGGGUUCACCCACAUCAUGCAAAUCAAUCAUUAAAGAAAAUGUUAAAAAGUGAUGAUAGUAAUUGUUUUUUUUUAUUGCAGAAGGGGCAUGGCUUCCUAAUGUGUUUUUUCUUCAAAGCAUCCUCCCCAGGAAACUGGUUUCAGAUGGUGUCUUAGAGUAUAAAAUCCUGUCUAGCACCAUUUGAAAUCGGUGUUCUUGAGCGGGAACAGACUUCAGGAAUGAUAACAGUGACAACCUCAUUCACCAAGUUGCUAGGGAGUUUGUGAUUGCAGUUUGAUGGUAUUCUUUACAUUCACGUUUUUACAAACUAGUCCAUGUUUGUUAUACAUUCAGUUAAAUGAUCAGUUUAGGAUUAUUUAAAAACAUAAUAUCCACUUGUCAAAUAUGUGUCCAUUGGUUCUCUGGAUCUGCUCUUUAGUAAAUCAGUUUACACUCCAGUGAUCAGAAGAAAAGGAGGCAUUGGAUAAGUGCAGUGAAACUGACCCCCCUCUCACCAAGGCUGACCGUUUUCCUCUGGUGUUUAGAGUUUCCAUCAUGUCUAGCACCAUUUGAAAUCGGUUACAAUGUGGAGAGACUGUCAACAAAGCUUUGGCUUCAGCAGUUGUGUGAUGAAUUUCCUUAAAGUACCAGAAGAUGGCAGCAUCGAGCUGCCAUCCAUGCUACCGCCCAAGGCUACCAAGUUUUUUAGAAUCAUUGAAGCAGUAAGUGUUUUACUGGGUGACCACCAAGACCAACAAAACUUUUAUGAAUUCAGUUUCUUCUUCAGCCAUUUUUCCAUCAUGCAGCCGUGCUGUGUGCAAGUUCCAGCUACAGUAAUUUUGUCCUGUGAUUUUCUUCCAGGGAAAGAUGAUAAAGAAAGAGAUCCUAGUUAAGAGGUUGUGUAUCUGCCUAGUGCAGAAUUGUCAUUUAGCUCUGUACUGUAUUUCCAUUAAUAAAGUAAAACUGUUUUUCCUUCAAA